GAGGCAGAGCUUUUAAGAGAGUUCCCACCAGCAAGAAGGCUCUCAUCAGAUGUGACACCUUCUACCUUGGACCUCUUAGAGUCCAUAACUCAUCCAGACUUUUGCAUCAUCGUGGUAGACAGCGGUGGAGGCAGCCAGACCUGGACCAGUGCAAGCAAGACCUGUGGAAUGAACAUAUGGGUCCUGACCCGUGGCAGAGAGAGUACAGCCCAUCUGCAAAUGGCCAGGCAGGUGAGUGAUGGUUUUUCAUUUCUUGAAGAAGAAAUGAAAGAACCGCAUUAAGGGUUGUAGAGAAGUCUUACCUAACAAUUACAGGAACUGAUCCAAAGCUGCGUAUACAACACCGUGUGUGGUGUUCUUGUUGGGAAAGGGAUUUUCAAGGAUG
rnacentral:lncRNA from 1 species